rnacentral:rRNA from 1 species
UACGUAGGGGGCAAGCGUUGUCCGGAUUUAUUGGGCGUAAAGCGCGUGUAGGUGGCCAAGUAGGUCAGCUGUGAAAACUUGAGGCUCAACCUCAAGCUGUCGGUUGAAACCACUUGGCCUAGAGUCCGGAAGAGGAGAGUGGAAUUCCUGGUGUAGCGGUGAAAUGCGCAGAUAUCAGGAAGAACACCAAUGGCGAAGGCAGCUCUCUGGGACGGUACUGACACUGAGACGCGAAAGCGUGGGGAGCGAACAGG